CCUACGCGAGGCAGCAGUGGGGAAUAUUGCACAAUGGGGGAAACCCUGAUGCAGCGACGCCGCGUGAGUGAAGAAGUACUUCGUUAUGUAAAGCUCUAUCAGCAGGGAAGAAAAUGACGGUACCUGAGUAAUAAGCCCCGGCUAACUACGUGCCAGCAGCCGCGGUAAUACGUAGGGGGCAAGCGUUAUCCGGAUUUACUGGGUGUAAAGGGAGCGUAGACGGCAGUGCAAGUCUGGAGUGAAAGGCCGGGGCUCAACCCUCGGACUGCUCUGGAAACUGUAAGGCUAGAGUGCAGGAGAGGUAAGUGGAAUUCCUAGUGGAGCGGUGAAAUGCGUAGAUAUUAGGAGGAACACCAGUGGCGAAGGCGGCUUACUGGACUGUAACUGACGUUGAGGCUCGAAAGCGUGGGGAGCAAACAGGAUUAGAUACCCUUGUAGUC
rnacentral:rRNA from 1 species